rnacentral:rRNA from 1 species
UACGUAGGGGGCAAGCGUUGUCCGGAUUUAUUGGGCGUAAAGAGCGUGUAGGCGGCCACCCAGGUCAGCUGUGAAAACUCGAGGCUCAACCUCGAGACGUCGGUUGAAACCGUAUGGCUAGAGUCCGGAAGAGGAGAGUGGAAUUCCCGGUGUAGCGGUGAAAUGCGCAGAUAUCGGGAAGAACACCGGUGGCGAAGGCGGCCACCUGGGCCGGAACUGACGCUGAGGCGCGAAAGCGUGGGGAGCAAACGGG